rnacentral:rRNA from 1 species
UACAGAGGUCCCAAGCGUUGUUCGGAUUCACUGGGCGUAAAGGGUGCGUAGGUGGCAGGGUAAGUUUGAUGUGAAAUCUCCGGGCUUAACCCGGAAACUGCAUUGAAUACUAUCCGGCUAGAGGGUUGGAGGGGGGACUGGAAUACUUGGUGUAGCAGUGAAAUGCGUAGAUAUCAAGUGGAACACCAGUGGCAAAGGCGAGUCCCUGGACAACUCCUGACACUGAGGCACGAAAGCUAGGGGAGCAAACAGG